rnacentral:tRNA from 1 species
GCUACCCUAGCUCAGUUGGUAGAGCAGCUGAUUCGUAAUCAGCAGGCCGCCGGUUCAAAUCCGGCGGGUAGCUCCA